AUCUAAACUAUUUAGAACACUCAAUUUGAGGUGAGUUGGUUUCUUCAAAUGCCUCCCACCAGGUCUCAUUUUAUCUGCUAUGACUUUUCUUCAUACAUGCGGCAUCUUCUUUCUUUCUGUUUUUUUUCCAGGAAAAUUACAUAAUAUAUUCAGCAAUCUCAAGGAAACAUUGUGGUUGAAAAGCUAAUGGAGAAGCUGACGGGGGUACACAGCUGGCUAACCUCACGGUAUCUCGGAAAUGGUGCAUGUCCACAAGAACAAAUGUGGGUGUGCAGUGAUAAAUUUAUUUCUCCAUCUGCGAAAAAAUUGAUAUCUGGGCCAGGACUUGAUGACCUCGGCUUCCACUGCCAGAUUCAAGUCUUGUUUCAGUAACACUGUGUUAAACCAUACAGCAAACUUCUGACCUUUUAAUACUGAGGAUUCAAGCAAGCACGUUUUAAGCUUAGCUGGAGUUCGAGUGUGUAUUUCUUUCUUUCUUUUUUUAAAGCAAGCCUAUUAUAGACUUCACUUUGUAUGGGAGCGAUUUUACCCCGUCAGCAGUCUUGCCUCACAUUCUUUCCUUAAGAAAGUAACUAACUAGUGCUUCUAUUCCUAGAAUAAAGAGUGGAUUAAAAAGCGCAGUCACUACAAAUAAGGCAGGAGUAGGGAGAGCAGGGAUGAGGGUAAUACGGAGAGGAGGAAAACUUUCUGUUCCCCAUCACGCCCCACGCUGUUGUGUAUAAUUAUUAGCUGCAAAAUAGCACAGCUUGAACAUUAUUAUUGCACAUUAAAGAACAUUUCACUUAUAAUUAUGGAACGAAAAGGAGCGUUUACAACUCACCUACCGAAGCAUUAACUUUGUGUAUGUAAGAAAAUAUUUUAAAAACCUCUUCAUUAAAAAUCUGCAAAUAUGGGACUUUCUUUUUCCGUCUCACAGAUCUUUUCUCCUUGUUUUUCCUCUGACACAUUGAAGUACAUCUUAAACUUUUCUUUUAAUUAAAAAGGAGUAUAAAAAUGUAAGGGCGGGAAGGAAACCAAGAAGAGGGGGUGCCCUGUGUGCUUGCUAGCGGAAACGGAUAUUUGAUAUAUGAGACAGAUUUGGAGAAUGGAAAAGUAAGGCAUAAAAUAUCUUUCUCAACAGGAGAAGAAAACUUGUGAUGCCCAGAACCAAGAACCAAUUAUUUUUUUCUGAUUGGUGUCUUAAUUUUUGAAAUAGGAAAUGCUAUGGAAAUCCAUAUAUGCCAACAAGGGUGUGAAAGUGUGUGUUGGUAGUAUUUGAAGGUCUGUUGAUGGGGAAUUUAGCUUUUCCAUGCAAUUUAUUUUGCCUCAUUCUGGAAUAACAUCUAUCUAUUGAGUCUCUAUAAAUGAUGGGACCUCUGUGUGUGUAUAUGUAUAUAUGUGUAUUAUCUAUGUGUUUGAAGACAUCCUUUAAAUCAAACACGUUCGCUGAGGGACUCUUAUCUGUCAAAUAUUGUGCUAGGCUCUAGAAAAAGUCAAGACUAUAUUAAAU
rnacentral:lncRNA from 1 species